CCUGAUUCCUGUUGAAGUUGCACUGAAUUAUGUUAAUUCAAAGAUGAGGAAGCAUUCCCAAGGACUGCAAUGAAGAUGCAAAGAGGAAGGUUCCUAUUACAGGUCUAUGAGGCACUGAUGUCUCUACAUUUAUCUCUUCAUUAUGUCUUGCAGCAGCUGCAGAAUAGCAAGGCUUUUGGAGUGCUUAUUUGCUAU